UGGGGAAUAUUGCACAAUGGGCGCAAGCCUGAUGCAGCCAUGCCGCGUGUGUGAAGAAGGCCUUCGGGUUGUAAAGCACUUUCAGCGGGGAGGAAGGCGGUGAGGUUAAUAACCUCAUCGAUUGACGUUACCCGCAGAAGAAGCACCGGCUAACUCCGUGCCAGCAGCCGCGGUAAUACGGAGGGUGCAAGCGUUAAUCGGAAUUACUGGGCGUAAAGCGCACGCAGGCGGUCUGUCAAGUCGGAUGUGAAAUCCCCGGGCUCAACCUGGGAACUGCAUUCGAAACUGGCAGGCUAGAGGCUUGUAGAGGGGGGUAGAAUUCCAGGUGUAGCGGUGAAAUGCGUAGAGAUCUGGAGGAAUACCGGUGGCGAAGGCGGCCCCCUGGACAAAGACUGACGCUCAGGUGCGAAAGCGUGGGGAGCAAACAGG
rnacentral:rRNA from 1 species